CAGUCGCAGCGUCAGCGCGCGCGCCACCUCCUUGGCCCCUCCCCCAUCCGCUAUACGCACUCGCAUAUCCAUCGGCACCGAACCUACGCGCAGUGCAGCGCGAGACCAUCUCGCACACACAUACGCACAAGGCCUCUCCCGCACUCUCCUUCCCCGCAGCCAUCGAGCGUCACCACCGCCUAGAAGAGGGAGAGGUGUCCCUAUCGUGUCCUAUCCACUGCGGCAAAGACCAAAGAACCGUUGGUGGUAGUCGACGCGUUCGCAGCAAGCAUCCCCUCUCCUGGCCCCGCCCACCGUCCUCUGCACGCACCCGCACACGCGCAGGCGCACGGCGAGGGAGAAUAACACGAGCGAGAGAGUCGCAUACGUACACAUAGAAAGAGAGAGGCAGAGAGAUCGACGGCUUGCACUGGUGAGCCGACGACGAGAUAGAGACAGACAGGGACAGACAGAUAUCUCAGCGGUCUGCGAGCGUGGCGCGUUGGGCGGGUUCGUCUUGUUCGCCUUCCUCACCCAGCCUCCUCCCGGCCCCGCCCCUUCUCGCCUGCCCUCUUCUGGUGGUCAUCUCUUAGUCACUACGACUGUCAUCACCACCGAGUCCACUCCAUGCACGUUGCGGUGGCACCGUCGAUCCUACGCGCGUCCGCAGAGGCCAUGCGGAGCAGCGACCCCACGCCGGCGCGGCCGACAGGCUUCCAGCGCUACCAACGCCAGCACAAGGUGGGCGAGGGGUCCUAUGGCAAGGUGUUUCUGUGCACCGAUGUCGUCGAGGGCGGCACCGUCGCCGUGAAGACGAGUCAGUGGAACUCCGGCGAGGAGGGCCUCUCCGUCUCCUCGAUUCGCGAGGUAUCACUCUUGAAGGAGAUACGCCACCCAAACGUGGUGCGGCUGCUGGACCUCUUCACCGAGGAGAAGAAGCUCUGUAUCGUAUUCGAGCGCAUGGAGAAGGACCUGCGUAGCGUUCUGUCGACCCGGCAGACCCCUAUCGUGGGCAGGAAGCUGAAACACAUGAUGUACCAGCUUCUGAGCGCCCUGCACGCCUGCCACAGCCGCCGCGUCGUGCAUCGCGACAUCAAGCCCGGAAACAUUCUUGUGAGCGCCGACGAGCAGACAGUGAAGCUCGCCGACUUUGGUAUGGGGCGUGCCUUCGGCCUUGCCCUGCAGAGCUACACCUAUCGCAUCGCCACGCUCUACUACCGUGCGCCAGAGGUGCUGCUCGGCGAUCGCUACUACCUGCCCUCCGUGGAUAUGUGGUCUAUGGGGUGCGUCAUGGCGGAGCUGGCACUGCGCCGCGCUCUGUUCCGUGGCGAGGGCGAGUACUCGCAGCUCAUCACCAUCUUCGGUAUUAUGGGGACGCCGAACGAACGCGUGUGGCCUGGCGUGUCGCGGCUGCCGCACUACAACGCCGAGUUUCCAAGCUGGGUGCCGACGUCGCUGGAGAAGUACAUACCUACCCUAGAUCCGGAGGGGAUAGCGUUGCUGAAGGCGAUGCUGCGGUACGACCCACAGCGCCGUAUUACCGCGUUGCAGGCAAUGCAGCACCCCUUUUUUGACGACGUGCGAGACGAGUGCGAAGCUCGGUUGCAACAGCAGCAGCCGUAGCAGCAGCACUGCCGCUGUAGUUGUGGUUGGGGUGGCUGCCAUGACUUCGGCAUCUGAGAAGCCUUCUAGCUGAGGUAGAGAGUGCAGCAGCACUUGUGUUCGCGAGGGCAGGGGGAGGGCAGAGGGCGAAGGUCGCAGAGGCGUAGGCGGUGAAGCGAAGACGACACAGACGGCGGUUCAGUUCUUUUCGCUCGUGUCGUAGAGCGCGUCGCAAGGCCUCUCACGCUUCUCUGUGUGUUUGGGGAGAGAGAGGGAAGGAGGGGAGGGGCGGUCUGUGUGUGUUUGUACACAGACGAGGUCCGUUGCGCGGCUGCCCGUUUAUCUCUCCCCUCCCUUCCCCUCCCCUCCUGCCAAGGCGGGCGCGCCCUUUCGUAUGACGGGCUCAUCAUUACCACUUCUAUAGAGCUCUUUAGCGCCAUUCCUCUUGUUUUGGGGGGUGAGUGGGGGGAGGGAGGCGGCGCGCGUGCAGGGGCGUAGAACUUGUCCUCCUCUCUCCUACCUCCUACCUCCCCUCCCAAUCUCCCUUGUCGCUCGGUAGGCACACACACGCGCCUCCGCCGCGGAGCAUCUUCUCGUACUACCCUUGUGUUGGAGGGUGCGGUUGCCGGUGACGCUGAGAUCGCGAACGACGACGCACACAACUCGCAACAGGAGCUGAAAAGGGGAGGCGGAGGUGGGGGCGGAGACGCC
rnacentral:misc_RNA from 1 species